GUGCCAGCAGCUGCGGUAAUACGGAGGGUGCAAGCGUUAAUCGGAAUUACUGGGCGUAAAGCGCACGCAGGCGGUCUGUCAAGUCGGAUGUGAAAUCCCCGGGCUCAACCCGGGAACUGCAUUCGAAACUGGCAGGCUUGAGUCUCGUAGAGGGGGUAGAAUUCCAGGUGUAGCGGUGAAAUGCGUAGAGAUCUGGAGGAAUACCGGUGGCGAAGGCGGCCCCCUGGACGAAGACUGACGCUCAGGUGCGAAAGCGUGGGAGCAAACAGGAUUAGAUACCCUGGUAGUCCACGCUGUAACGAUGUCGACUUGGAGGUUGUGCCCUUGAGGCGUGGCUUCCGGAGCUAACGCGUUAAGUCGACGCCUGGGAGUACGGCCG
rnacentral:rRNA from 1 species